AGAGUUUGAUCAUGGCUCAGGAUUAACGCUGGCGGUAUGCCUAACACAUGCAAGUCGAACGGAAUGCUAAUUAAGAGAAUCUCACACUAGUGAGAGGUUCUCACGAGUAGUAUUUAGUGGCGGACGGGUGAGUAACACGUUGGAACCUGCCCCGAAGUGGGGAAUAACUGCUCGAAAGAGUAGCUAAUACCCCAUAGUAUCCGGUUUAUCCGGAUUAAAGAUUUAUCGCUUCGGGAGGGGCCUGCGUCUGAUUAGCUAGUUGGUGAGGUAAAAGCUCACCAAGGCGACGAUCAGUAGCUGGUUCGAGAGGAUGACCAGCCACACUGGGACUGAGAUACGGCCCAGACUCCUACGGGAGGCAGCAGUGAGGAAUCUUCCACAAUGGGCGCAAGCCUGAUGGAGCAAUACCGCGUGCAGGAAGACGCUUUUCGGAGUGUAAACUGCUUUUGUCGUCGAAGAUUAUGACUGUAGACGAAGAAUAAGGACCGGCUAACUACGUG
rnacentral:rRNA from 1 species